UUCUGCCUCCCACUGCCCCAUGUGGCCAGACUGGCUCCCACAGCAGCAAUGGCAAGGGAGAAGGGCAGUGCAAAGGUGGUGUGGGAAGCACCUGGCACAGCCUGUGGAUGGCUGCAGGGAUGGCUUUGGUGCUGGUGCAUUGCUCUCAGUGACUGAGUCCUCCUCUGGGAUGUGGAGCAGGCCAGGGGCUCUCUGUGAGGGAAGGGAUGUUGCUGCUUUACUAGACACAUCUUUCUAACCCAGAGCAAAUAAAUGCACUUCCCUCAUCCAGGCAAUAGUGGGGCCUGCAGUGGUAACCUGGGGUACAUUGACGCUGCCAGACUCAGCUCAGGAGCAAACGCAGCAGAGGAAACCUCAGGCUCAGGAGAAGGGGAAGGCAGCUGCUGCCUAAGGUUGGUCCUUUAGUCCCACUGAGCCCCUAUUAACGAAACAGGAGCUUCCCCUUCCCUUCCAUUUUGAGCAGUCUGGUGGGCUGUAAAGGGCCUUGGCAGGAGAUGGGGCUCUCUGGGGCUCCUGAUAGUUGUCCUGUGUGGCAUCAUCGUGUGGUGCCUGUGUCAAGACCAGUGUCACUCAUGCACAGCAGGCACUCGUCCCCUGGCUGGUCACCAAGGAUUGCUGUUUCUAGUUCAGGCUCUGGGGUCAUGAAUAGGUAUGAGUUUUCCAGGAAACAAUUCCAACAGAAGCCCUCUGCAUCCCAUUCUUCAUUAGUGUUAGUGAAGUUCUGCAGCUACCAUGCUCGUGCAGGUAACCAUACUUCUGCAGCCAGCCAUACAGUCUCCAUCUGCUCCAGCUCAUCAGUAAACACCUUCUCUGCCUCACCUUCACACUUAAGGAACCAAGCUUGAUUUUUCUCUGCUUGGAUCAGAUUGAUAGCUGUGGUCUUUAGCAAAGCUCUAGUUAUUGCUAGGGCUUUCUUACCCAAACUCUUCUCCUGGGGAAAAAAAAAAACACAAAAAAACAAAAAAAGAAUUUUCUGUGACGGAGUCACCAAGAAAGAACUUACCAAAUGGAGAUGCAUCUGCCAUUGCUCAUUGGUCCUGCUGGCAAAGGCACAAACAGCUGUAGAUGAAAGACGAAUGCUGAAAGGCAUUUUAGAUUUUUUGCUGUCUGUAGGAAGGUGACUGCAGAUUUUCCAGGGAAUUAUCUGAACUUAUUCUCCUGUGGGAUUCGCUCCAUCACUGCAUCCCCGAGAGGAGAACAUUGUGUCCCUCAACCUCAUUCACCUAAGCCUGUUAUCUGGGUCGACCCUGAGGCCAGCACACUGAGUUAAACUGCUAAGGGCAAUUUCAGACACUUGGCUGUCAAGCUAGAGCUGGAAGUUACCUGGGAGUUGAUGGGAAGAGACAAAGUGGGAUGGAUGGAGUUGGGGCCUGGGGUAUCAUCCCUGCCUGGGAAGCAUACAGCCUCUACUCACCCUGCAUACAGACAGCAGACCUUCAUCUGCACAUGCUCAAACAGAGGAGAAGCUUUUCCUCUCAGAAUAAAAUCCACAUUUGUGUGCAAAGAUCAGAAGUAAGCAUUUCAAAAGAGAUGGCAGCAAGAUGGAGAAGGUGCAUCAGGAAAUAGUACCUAAGUCUUCUUAAACACAGAAAUGCUCUCCAAACCGAUGAAAAUUCAGCUUGCAGCACAAGAAGAGUUCCUGAUGUGCUCAGACCAGGAGAGAUUUUUCAAAUGGGAUUUGAAUGGAAGAGUUCCAUCUAAAGUAACUGCAUUUGUUCCCACCAAAUUAACCCUUGGUUACACACAGUUUUCUCAGGAAGCUCUGGAAAUUACAAGCAAGAGGUGCCCCAGGUGCCUUGGUGCAUGGCUUGCUUGCUUCUGUUGUCUUGCUAAUGAGAACCACACAAGCAACUAUGUCCAAAUGCAAAGAUUUUAAUAGGUGUGGAAACCCACAAAUGUUGUGUAGGUAUCACCCACAGCUCCUGUGACAGAGGCUCAGUGCUGGGCUUACCAGUGGUUUUGCACCUACUGAGUGGCUGCCAUUCCUCUAUUCCUGAUGUACCUGCCCUCCCUGGAGAAAACCAGCUGCUUCAGCUCCUCUGUACCAGGGAAGGGACACUCACAAGGGGCCAGGGGCAAGCAGGGACGCAGAGGGGCAGCUGGGAAGCUUCCUAUCAUCAAGUUUGGUGUCAGCGCUCUGCAAUCACCUAUUUCACAGAGCACCCCCGAAUUCCACCUCCAUGUUUGGAGUGACUGCAGUAAGGUGAGCUCCGUAAUGGCAGGUUUGAUUACCAGCAGGCAGGCACUUAUCUGUUGGUUCAGCAACCAGAACUGAAUCAGACACUGAUUCAAAAGAGGAAGGAGAUGUUUCCUUUCUCAGGGCAUUCCAUGCAAAGACUUAAGCCCUGCUGGCCCCUGUGGCUCAAAGUCUCUCUCUGCAUAACAAGUCACUCACAAGCAGAAUGAGGUCCCAUCCUGAGCCACCAGGGUGAUCAGGCAGCUCCAUAUGGGGCUGCGUCUGAGUGCCAGCUAUGGGGCGAACCCCACAUGGAGCUGCAGGUCCCAGGGGUCCGGGUGCCAGCAACUGCAGAGACCUGUCCUGGGCAUGGCAGGGAUGACUAGCAAACCUCAGGUCAGAGUAGCCAGCAAGUAGGACAGGUAGAACUGUGAAAGGGCAGUUCCAAGCAUCAAGCACUAAAAUCAAAGUUACAAAUCGGGAUUUGAAGGUGCCAGCAAAGGUGCCCCCUCUUAUCUGUGCUAGUCUGUCUGCAGCUGGGGAUAUCUGUGCAUGGUUGUGCCCAUUCCUGUGCAGAUUCAUCUUGGUUUUCCAACUAUAAAGUUAAUUUCUACUUCUUUUCUGGUCAUUCAGUGGGUUUUUUUUAAGGAAUGAAAGAUACACAGGGCCUAGUGGAAGUCUGAGGAACUUUUGUCAGCAGAGAGGUUUUUCUCUUAGAAUAAAAUCCCUCCUCAAAGUGCCUCUGCGCUAGAACUUCUGGGAUCAGAAGACCAGCAAUCUGAAAUUGCAGAGAAACAUCCUCAGCUCUACCAAACCUGCCCAGCACAGCCUCCACCACCUCCAGCCAGGACUCCCAGCCCAGGGCAGCCACCAUAACUGCCCAUGCAUUCAUUGGUUCUCUCUCUCUGCCUACAUGUCUCUCUCUUUGGUUUGAAGGAUCAAACCAAUCAGUCAAGUCCCAGAACUUGACUCUGCUGCCCGGAUGACACUUCCUGGUCUGGUCCAAGUGUCUCAGAUCACCACCUUUCAGGGGGUGUUUGGACCACAUCUUUGGUUCUCCCGUGUCAUUCCCACAUUAGCAGAGGGAGAAUUAUCCUUCUGUCACACAAGUACUCUACGAGAACAUUCCUCUCCCAAAGAACCAAGGUUUUUCACAAUCACAGUUCAGUUCCCAACAGAAAAGGAUGUUCAGAAAGGUGACCAUAGUAACGUGGGAUCUGUACAACACUCAGUGGUGGGUGCUAAUGGUGUCCUACCACCCACCUUGCACACUUGGGUUAAUUCACACUUGAACUGCAGCAGCUCAAUCAUGAGCAUGCUCAGAAAAAGGAAACGUAAAAAAACAUGUUAAUAGCUAUUAGAGACAAAAAGGGACAGAAAUUCAUUAGGAAGGGAAUAAACCAGGAGAAUAACCAGCUCUAAGAUUUAAAAUGCUGUACCUAAUGGUGAAGAACAGGCCAUGAGUCACUUUAUGUAUGGCUGUUUGCUGACUGUUUUUCACCUGUUUUUGUUUUUCUUUCUAAAGAUGACAGAGAGCAAGAUGAGGUAGAACAUCAAGUAAACAGAGCUCCAAGAAGCACCUCUGUUCUGGGAAUCCUGAUAGAAAUCAAACUAGAUGCCUGGCCAAAACCACGGGGGAGUGCCAGCAAAGGCCUGGCACAAAGGGCAACCCCUGUGCAUGGUAUCCCAAGGGGAAACACAACCAAGAUGGUUAUAACAGGGCUUGACCACCUUCCCUGUUUGUAUUGAAUAAGCCACCACUGGGGCAGGUGGCUUAGUGUACCUGAGCUGCAGUCAGAACCACAGGGAGCAAAACCCUGUUGGCCCCACUUGCCUGGGCCACUGACAAUUGUUCUUAAAACCUUCCCACAAAGAGCUCCUCCAGCUUUUCCAUCACUUUUUUUUUUUUUAGUGCCUAAUCUGUCAGCAAACCAAAGCCCCUGGACUUCAUCUCACCAACAGAAGGGGGAGAAAAGCUAUCGCUGCAUCACUGCAGCAAUGACUGCCCUAUGUGAGGACUUCAGCCUCAAAAGAAUGAGGAGGACAGAAGAAGAAAAACUCCAGUUCAAUCAAUCUUCCCUCACGGAUUCUUUUUUAGGCUUUUGCUUGUACUGCCUCUCUCCAUCCUGCCAUGAGAUUUUAAUGAUACUCAUCAAACAGGCAUUACACUUUUUCUUUACAAUGCCACAGCACCUGUCCAGUCACAUAUGGGUCCUGUCCUUGGCUCAUGGAGUCAGUCAAAAUAAUUUUCUACAUCCAGUCCAAAAGAACAUUCUGUCUUAAAUCUUCUUGUCCAAGGAUAUCACCCACUGCCAACCGGGCACCAAACACCAGUUACAGAGCAUCUUCUACCAGUGACCCCUGAGAUGCAGGAGUCUCUCCCAUUCCAUGCUGGAAGAACCUUGACUCACCUUCUCCCUCCAUAGCAGAGGGAGCUUUCUCUACACUAGGAAGAGCUAGGAGUUAUAUUCUGGCAAGGUCUUUUAAGGUGAGGAGGGAAGAGGUGGGGAAGGGAGAGAGAGGGAGAGAAAGGAAAUAAAUGCAACUGUGGUGAAAAGUCACCGCAUUUCAUCUGGAUACAUUCAAUUAAAACUAAGAAAAAAAACCACGAACAGCAGAAUAUAUCCAAGAGAAACCUUCAGGUAACACAUUAGGGUUCAGCAGAUAAAUCUCAGCCACAGCCAUUCAAUCUCUGGGCAGCAGAGGACUCAGCCAAGAGUCCAGGCACAGCAGUGCAUCAGGCAGGGCUCUGAUGGUGAGGACAUGCAGGCACAAGAACACGCAGAAUGCAGUGGUGCAUAACUCAGUCAACCUGAAUUGCCACUCCAGAGGCUAACACUGGGGCUCCCAAAACCAGAGAAAACCACUCCAAACCCACUCCAAAACUACAGGUGCCUGCAUGUGGCACAAGGCAGCAUCAGCACAGGUCCCUGCAGCACAGCACAGCAGCAGAAGCGGUCAAGUGAAAUCCCCUUCCAGUCCCAAGGCAUAUUUGCUUAACAUGAAGGUGUAGGAGUGAUUUCAGCAGCAGAGUUGUUCUUUGCCCCUGAGCCAGGGAAGGGCCACAGCAGCACUUGGGAGGCAAAAGACAUGUGCUAGUCAUAGGAACAAGCAGGGAGCCUACUAAAGAGAGGUUCUGGCACUGUUUAGCACAUAAUUUCUGGAAGAUUCCUGUCCCCCACAGGGAGUUUAGCAGCUCUCCAAGGGAGAUAAGACUUAUUCUCCAGGCAAGGACGGUACUGAUUGUUCUGAGGAAGCCAGCAGCAGGGGAAAGAGAUGGAAGUGGAUCUCGAAGCACCCACAUGUCCUGCCCUGAGAACCAUAGCUCAUCGCUGCAAGGCAUGCCAGGCUGAUGAGCACAACAGUCCCAAUUCCCAGCUACCUCCUUAAGCUGAAUUAAGGGUUGGCACCCACCCAGGGGCUCAGGACAAGGGCUGUGAUCAGCAGGAGCUAAUCAGAUCCCUACCACCUGAAACAUGGCAGGAGCAGCAGAGGUGAAUGCCUGGCCCCAGGCACCAUCCCACAGCAGUCCUUCUCAGCAGCAUAUCAGGGAAGCCCUAGGGUAAGUAUAUGCCCUUGAUGGCAGAGGCAGUCACUGGCAAUGCCUGUCAGUCACCCCCUGUGACUGUUCACUCAGUCACUGCUCCAAUUUUGCUGUAUUUCUGAAUGAGCUCAUGAAAUAAAGUUUAAAUCACAGAGUACACUGUCCUGUAAAUUUGAGAGAUCCAAACAGAUCAUCGCAUCCCUCCCAGCAGAGUGCACACUGGGCUCCCAACAGGCUCUGCAGUUGCUGCCUUCUGGAGAGCACCAGUGGCACUCAGAAAUUAUGGAAAUGAGAUUGCUUUUGUCAGGUUAUUCACAGUUGUCUUACAGUGGUGAAUAACUUGACAGAACUCAUUUCUUCCUGAUGUGCAUGAGAAUGAGCAAUUUUCUCAAGCUUCUUUGUCAUCUGGAUAUACCUUGCUGGACAGGAUGACUGCAUUGUCACCCAGGGUGAACAGUAAUGCCCUGAGAUGUGCCCAUUCACCCAGAGAGAUGAGCACAGCACCCAUUUCAACCCCAGCCCCAGCAACAAGCCAUGGCAGAGCCAGGAGUCACCCCACUCUGAGGGGAGCACUGGGAGCUCACCUGAACCUGGGGAUUGAGUUUUGGUUGUCCUCAGGACAAAGCUCAACACAGCACUGCCACCGGGGGUUUUGCCUUAGGCUGUCUAGCGAUCUCUGGUUUUGCUCUGUGUUGCGAUGAUUUGGACACACAGUGUUCUUACCAGGUGAAAGACCAUUUGCUUUCCCUGGAUGAUACUGAAUGGCUUGUAAAUUACCUGAAUUACAGCUCUCUCCCUUAAUGUCAGACACAGACUGGUACUAACUCACAUAUAUUGGCAUAGACACGCACCAUCAUUUAGCUGGGUGGCUCGUACAGGGACCUGGCAGAUUAAUAAGUGGUACAGUCAAGGAGGAGAUGUGAGUCCUGGAGAUUUCAGAUGGGAUCAGUAAGGAUAGGAGCAGACAGAUGUCUCCCAUGAGCAUGGAGCCUGUCCUCUGGAUGGGCUGGGCUUCAUCCUCCCAUGCCUGCUUCUCCAUCCUCCCAAUAUAUCCCUUGCGUAACUGCUGUGAUUGAGGAGCCUGUAGCAUGACCUGGCACCAAAAUAAUACAGUCUGUGCUUCUGUACAGGAGUCACAAUGCUUCCAGAUGUCUUCAGAGCAAUGAGGAUCAACCCACACAUAAAUAAAUGGCUCCAUCGGCUCUUAAAGCAAGUCCAUCCUUCCUUGCUGACCAAGAGCACUCAACUUUCAGAGAGCAAUAAUUUCAUUUGGAUGAAUAAUGCUCUGGUCAAUGGAAAAAGAAGCUGUGCCAGGGAUAGCAGGACUGGAUGUUUCUGGGUGGAAACACAAUCUUUUAACAAAACUGCAUUCAGUGGGUGAGUCAGGUUUAGAUUCAAGGCCCACAUGACUGCCAUAUACAGAAUCCCAUAUUUGUCACAUCUUUGUUUUCCCCAUGUACCCAAAACGCAUCAGUGGAAACAGCUAAACCAUCCCCAGAGAGCCAGGGGAAUUUAAGGAAACUGAGGCCAGGGAAUAUAACACCAGGCUUGGAGGGGAGCUGUGGGCAGACAUAAUCCCCUCAAGAGACAGUAUGCCACCAUCUUUCCUCUAAGAUGGAGGGAUGGAUGGAGGGAGGGGCUGCAGAGGCCAUAAAGGUGAGAUUACUAUAUAGCAAGAGAGCAUCAGAGUCACAGUAGUCCAGAGGAUGGCACAAAAAGGGCAGCAAGGGCUGGGGGUGGAGGUGGGGAAGAAGAGAACAGCUAAUUAUCUCCUUUCAGUGGCCAAGAUAAUUCUUCGAGUCACAAAGUGCAAGGCUUUGGCAACAGGCAGGAUGCAUUAGGUCUGUCUGUAACAACUAUGCAGCCAAGCACACCCAGGAGUUCCCUGGGUCUCACAGGGAAUCAGAGCACUGUUUCCCCUUACUUGCACGCAGAUUCUCAUCAUGCAGACUGUUCUGGAGACAGUCCCUCCCCUCCCCAGUGCCAUUGUCCCCACACCAUCUUCAACCACUACUCAAAACAAAAAAGGAAGGCUGACUUCGCUUGGCAAGGGCUGGCCCCUCAGAGAGGGGUCCAGAGAGGGAGAUCUGCCAGAUUCAGUGCCUGGGGCUGCUCCUGUUAGCCACGGCGUCCCCACAGGCAGCAUCCACAAGCACCACUGUCACUCUGCAGAAGUGGCUUGCACACUGCCACACAAAAGUGGGGAAGACAGAAUGCUGCCACCCAGUCCUUGCUGUUUUCAGAACUGUGGGCACUUCAUAGUUCCAAUUACUCUGUUUUAUAAGCCAGCUUGGGAGAGCACCAGACACAUGGUGAAAGGAAAAAUGUCCUGCCGUGAUGCCAGCAGAGGUGUGCCCUGCAUCAGUUUUAGCUUGCAGUAUCCCUCUCUCCUCACCCUCUCUUCCCAUGCAGCCCCUACCUACCCCUAUCAGCACCCCAGGCACCUGGAACUCCUCAUAUACCCUUCCUCCCACCCCUCAAGAGGUCCAGAAGCACCCACGGGUGCCUAACUGUGGGAUGUUACUGCAGCAGGCAGCUCCCCAGUUAGUCUAAGGGCAUCAGACCAAGCCAAGUCCUGGCACUAGGAAAGCCAGGUGAGGAUUGACAGCUCUGGGAGCAGCUGUAGGAGAGGGAACUCUGAGCUGGAGUCACAGAUUUUUUUCCCUCCAAUCACUGAUUUUAACUUCAUGUUCAAAAACAUCAAGACAAGCAGGUGAGAGCCGGUCCCACAUCUUCCAUUUCUUCUGCCACUGCCUGGGACUGAGCACAGAUGACACCAUUAACCUCAAAGAAUAAUGCCACCUGUGCUCCUCUUCACCACAGUACCACAGCUUAACAUGGGACCUUGCCCUUUUUUGCAAAGCCAGCAAUAGUUAAACUCAUUCCUUGUGCUGGGGCCUUCAGACACCACUCUCCCUGCAAGACUGAGCCAAAAGCAUCUUCUCAGCCCUAUAGUCAUGGACUGUGACUGCCUGGAAGUUCACAGCAACUUGCACUAUUGCAUCAAUAAAAGGAUUCAAAUGGAGUCCAUUGGACAGGCUCCAAUUUGCUGAGCUGGAUUCUGGAUCAGGCCUUCCCAGAGCAAGGCACAUAUUUCAAGGGAUAUUUAAACACAAAUUGUUCAGUGCCAUCCGACAGACUGGCACAUUGUAGUCAGUUCAUGUCAACAGUUUUGACACAUGAGAAAUAAUUUCCAUUAGGGAAUAUUCUCCAUAAACAGAAUUACCUCACCCUGUGCUCAACCCGUGUCAUCAACUGCUCUUGCCCAAAAACAAGAAACAGAAGACACCUGACAACAAUGGAGAGACCUCACAGACUGGUGCAGCAGAACCUGCGGGGAAUACAUAGCCCUUGCACCAGGUCCAUAUGGAGCAGGCUGAAGGCUCUCCCACCUCACAUCACCUGAGUACCUGUUAGUGCCACUGCCCCUGAGAACAGCCUGCGGGGAGUCUGAGCAAAGGGGCUGCACCCCUCUCCACAGCACGAGUGGCAGCCAGCUCCUGCCCCCCCAGCCUGGCACAGCCUGCCCCUCUCCAACAUGGGGAUGCUGUGCUGGAGCGCAGCCUGCUCGAGGCUGCAGACAGUGAGCUGUUUGCAGAUUUGCUAAUAUUAGAACAUUACACAGCCUGCUGCUAAUGUGUUCAUCCUGACUUUGUGUGAGACAGCACAAUCCUGGUUCUGUGUCCUGUACAGCUUCCUGCCCACAACACCUAUCCACGUCCUUCCUGUUCCUACUAAUGACUCCCCGCUGGCUGUUGACCCAGCCAGUAGCUAAAUCUAGAAUAAGUCGAUCUUAGUUUAAAUUUCUCCCACGUUUGGUGCUGUUUUCAAUUAGACCACUUGUGCUUUAUUCCCUGAACAAUUUAAUGAGAAAGCUUUGCAGAGAGAGAUGGUUUUAAAGCAGAGGAAGAGCAAAAUGCAUAUAGUUAAAACAACAUGAGUUUCUCCCCUGAGCCUCGACUCCAUCAUGAGCUGCUGCCCUUGUGCACAGGACCCAGUGCAGUGGGGGCAUGGAGCAGUGGAGUCAGGCUGGAUGAGAGCUUGGAAUCUUUGGGUUGGAAAAGACCUCUUUGUCAAGUCCAGUCAUUAACCCAGCACUGCCAAGGUCACCACAAAACCAUGUCCCCAACUGCCACAUCCUGCAGGGAUGGUGACUCCACCACUGCACUGGGCAGCUUGUGAGAAAGUCCCCCCUGAGCCUCCUUUUCUUUAGGCUGAGCACCCCCAGCUCCCUCAGCUACUCCUCAUCAGACUUGUGCUCCAGAGCCUUCCCCAGCUCCGCUGCCCUUCCCUGGACAUGUUCAAGUCCCUCAAUGUCUUUCUUGUCAUGAGGGGCCCAAAACUGAACCCAGAAUUUACGGUUCCUCACCAGGGCUGACCAAGGGGAUGGGCAUGGACCUGAGGGAAGCAAGUGGAUCCAGUCAGCAACCAUUCACCCUUGGUCCCAGCGACACACACGCUAACACCACUCCGGAGCAGCAGUGUCCAGCCCUCGGGGAAAUUGCUUAGACUGGGCAAGGACUAUCGUAGGAUUGCAGCUCUCUAGCAUCUCAUCUGAGCUGGCUUGGGAGGGGCUUUGCUGGGAUAACUGGAUUUUCCAAGAUACCUUGUCCCCCAAUUAAUUUACAGCAGAGUGAACAGGAGAUACUUGAACAGUAUAUAUAACACAUGCAACUUUGGAUCCUAUCUUGCAACACCUGGAACAGCCACAGCAUCACAGGGAAUUGCCGCUCUGAGUGGGAAUACUCUGCCUGCCAGAAGUCAAAUGUCCCUGAACUUCCCAAGAGCAGGCAAGAUAGUUUCCUAAAUUGAAGCUUUAUAAUGUGUAUGAGCAGAUUAUAUAUCACACCUGAAGCUUGACAGAGCAGCAUUCAGUCUUAGAAGACCUGUCAAUCACUUUGGUGUGUAGAAAUGUGAGGUGAGUAUAUUUAAAACAGCACAGCAGAAAAAGUAAAAUGUAGAAGACAUGACAUUCCCUCUGCACAGAGUCCUUGUAGGCACCAGCUUGACAGAGGGAAAUAACUGAAACAGAAAAAUUUAAUAAUUGGAUUUUUUUUUUUCAGGCUGCUUUACUGUUGGCUUAAAAAAAAUGCACAGUUCCACAGUCAGGAAAGGACUACCUGAGGAAACAUGAAAAACCGAGGGGCAAGAAAACACUCCACAGACCAGACUGGCUAGGAGACAAAAUGAAAGCAGUUAAGAAUUAACUGCUCCCUAGCCAAUGUCUAACAAAUAACAAGAGCUAGAAAACCGGUAAGGGAAGGAAGGAGGUUGCUAUAAGCAACACAAGCAUGUUGAGGAGCUGCAAUACUAGCAAAGACAGGGUAAUAAAUAUUUCUGUUCCCUCUUGGUAAGUGGUCAUAAUGGGUUCCCAUCACAGGGUGCUGAAAUGCUCCCCAGCAGUAAUUGAACCUGGCAAUCAACAGAAACCCCAGAAACAGACUCUAAUCAUCAGAACCAGAACACUUUCAUCUACAUUUUCUAGUAACUCUCAGGCCAGCCAACACUGACUUUCUGUAAAUUUUCAAACUCAGGUCUCAGGGCUGCAGGGGGAUUUGCAAAAGGAACCAGGAGGACACAGGUAACUGCACAGCCAUAAGCCUGAUGCCAACUCAGGAAAAUAAUGGAAAAGCUGAAAAGGGAUUAUUUAAUUAAUAUCACGUGAUGGCAGGACAGAGCUUUUACCAAUGUCUUCUUACAUAAAAUAUCUACUUGCAGUGAAAAAUAUCAAGUGACUUUGAUGAGAGCUAUUUCUAUAGCCCCACUGUGAUUGGCACUGUCUACCAGAGUGUCCCCGAAUGCUCGAUUACACACCGGAACAAUACCAAAUCAGAAUAAUGCUCACCAAGUGGGUUAAAACCCCAUUAACUACAGCUAGAAAGGGAAAAUCAUGGCUGAGACAGUACCACUAGUGAUGUGGGAGCCUUUAUCACCCACCCUGUCUGGCAGGCUGGGAGAAGGCAAGCAUUUGGCAUCUAAAGCCAUCUAAAUAUUGCCGUAUUGUACCAAGGAUAAAAGAGAAGCCCCAUUUGCAAGCUGGAAUCUCAGCCCUAGCUGAGAAUGGAAGCUGCACACUCUAAGACUGGGGGCAAAGCAUGCAUUUCUUUUACCAGGCAAUAUAAAAGUGUUUGAAUUGGCAGCAAGUCGUCCACCCCACAGUGGGAAUGUUCAAGUUAAGGCAAAGGCUUUCUCAAAGAAAAAUUAAAGGUCAGCCCCGAUGAUAGGGCUGGCAGGAGCUUGUUUGCAGAGGGGAAGGGCACACUGUCUGACCACCUGGGCUCUCUGGGGUGAGACAAGGCUGGAAAUGUUCUCUGAUGGCAGCUCACCUGAGCAGAAAGUCACUGAGUGGCACCAUUGUCCCCUCUCAUGGACUGAUACUAGUGUUUGCAUUCCCUCCUUGUCUCCCUCACUCAUGAGCUGAUUCCCUUCGUGAGAUUUGACCCCCAAACCUGGGCAUCACCCACACCACUACUAAGCACACAGAGCCCAGAGAUUUCAUGAAAGAGAAGAAACUGCUUUCAUAUCUCUUUUGCACUUCCCCACACCCAGCAGUCAUAAUGUCUGAAAGCUCAUGGCACAAUCCUGAGGGGCCCAGCAGGAAGGGUGUCCCCAUCCCAAAGUUCAGAGGGGAAAAGAGCAGCUCAGAGACAGGGAGAGAGCCAGGGAAUGCAGCAAAGGAGGAGCAGCAUGAGCACUAUGGGGAGAUGCAGAAAGAUGCUGAGUGACUUUUGGAACUCAAGAGACAAGGACCACCUCCCACACUGGCUCCAGCACUUUGGAGACAGUCUUUUCUCUACGAUCAAAAUCUCUCCAUUUUCACCAUCUGCUAAAGUUAGUUCUUCUUCACAUCUCUCUGGCCCCCCAGGAAAUAAAUGCUGGGUUUUGCCUCCUGCCCAUUCAAGCUUUCAAUGUCACCAGCUAACUUCCCACCCUCCUGUAAGCCCACUCAGAUAUCCAGCUGGCCCUGCGGGCAAAUUUACCCAGACACUGUCUUCCUCUGGUGUCACUGCCCUAUCCCAGCUCUUAUAUCAGGAAGAUAUGAGACACCGAUAUCAUCCCCAUCUCUGGGCAGUGAAUCAGCACACAUGGAUAUCUUUCAGACUUACCCAGACACAAGCAUUACCCAGAGGACUGCCCAAGCUUUUGAGAACUCAGCACCACACUUACACCAGCCUCACCCACUGCCCAUGGCUCUCUGCAAGGACAGCAGCAGGACCAGCCAGCAGUCCUUCCAGAUCACUAUAUAGCAACUGAAUCUUACAGCACUGAGGUCUAAGCUUCUCCCACGCUAAGUGUGCACCAAGAAUCUUCCCUGUUCCUCAGCUUCUCCCUUAAUGAAAGAAUAGCAGCAAUAGUAUCACCAAAGCAGCAUCCAUAACAGUCCCCUAACCCUCUUCACAUGGGGGCUUGUCAGGUCUUGUUAACAUUCCCUUUGGAACACUCAGAAUUUUCUUGAGUUGGAGCUCAGUCUGGAAACAGGUGUGCUUUAUCAAAAACAGAAGGCAGCUGGGGAUUUUCAAACCAUGGAAGUAAGAAAUCAAGGCCUAAACUUUCCCUAGUACAUGCUCUGCCAGAGCAAACCCCACCCAAACGGACACUGCCUCUCACAGCUACCCAAAAAACCUCCAGGCACCCCAGCAAUCUUGGCAGGUGUGUCAGUGGGAUUCCCUCUUGACCCAGCUCUUCCACUACUUUCACUCUGCCUUCCUGGCUUGCUGAAACACCAGGAGCUCCCUCCUGUCUAAGCCAUGGAUUGUGGUGGUUUGAGACCCUCAAAAAUCCAAUUUCCAAGUCCAAACCCCCCUCCCACAACUCACCCCAGAGUGAGAGGGGUUUUCCGGACACAACACAAGACUCAAUAUGGGGGGAAGGGAAUUAUAUUACAAUUAUUACACAAGUAAAUAUUAUAAUACAUUAUAUACACAAUUCUAACUAUCUCUCCUAUGGUAAAGCAAUAUUUACAUUGGAUCAAGUCUCCUCUCCCUCCAGUAAAAGUCCAGAAGGGAAGAAGGAAAGAUCCUUUGCACGUUCAGGGCAGCAGUCAUAGCUGGAGUUGUUGUAGCUGGCUCUCUCCAUUACACACAAGGGGGUCUCCUCUCACCCCUCUCAGUCCUUCAGCUCCAAGUGAAGGUCUCUCUCCUGUGGACUGCGAUUGCUGGGACAAAAGCUUGCUUCACCAUGUCAUAUCAUGAGGUGUAAGACAUCCCAUGAAAGUCCCUUCCUCGAGUGGUCAAGUUCCCUCAAGUCAGAACAUUUAGGGCUGCUCUCAGUUCAGUCUUUGCCCCAAGCAUCCCAUCAGAGCUCCUUUGCUCUGUCUCAGCUGCCAGCCUGGCAGCAGCAGCGGAGGGAGAAGGCCACUUCCCCCGCAUUCCGUCCAGCCGUCCUGGUCCAGCUUCCAGGACGUCUCUGAGCUUCUCAGUUCCUCUCUCCGGUGCAUGCUGCAUUUUAGGACUCCCAUCAAGUAGAAGUCCACCCCCUCCUCCCAAGAGGGGUCUCAAAGGGGUUUUGGGGAGAUUUAAUUCAGUCUUACCCCAAAACUAUCUUUGUUGAGUUUAGUCCUCUCUCCCUCCCUCCGUCAGCUUGGCUGCAAUGCUGCUUCUCUCUUAUCUUCUUGGUUUUCAGCCGCAGUUCUCUGUUCGGUGCUGUCUCUGCUGCCACUCCUGCUGCCCACUCACAGUGGAGAAAAACUCCCUCAGCUCUUGGCCACAGUACUCAGCCCAGUUUAACACUGUUUCCGAGUUUCUGCAGCCCCAGCCGGGGGGCUGGUGGGGCCUUGGCCCCCAGCGGGGCUCCUAGCCCCCUGUCUCCUCGUGGUCUCAGACCAUGGCUGCCACUUUUUCAGCUACGUCAUCCUCCUUCUUUUCCGGUCUGGUGUGAUAUGUUUUAAUUCUGCAGGGGCGCUGAUUGGGUCAACACCAAGAAACACCACCCCCUCGGGGUUACCAUUUUUUUUAGCUCCAGGGGAAAACACUUUUUUUUCCCCACCACAAGGAUGCAGGCCAGCAUUUUCAUAUUCAGGCUGAGCACCCAUGGAUUCGUAUAUUCUGCCAGGAUCGAGUGUCUGGAGGAACAAAGCCAAUGCACAACUCAGCUCCACACCUCUCCUUCUGAUCCCAGUGGGCACAGGCCUGCUGCUGGCUGCUGCUCCCUGGGAGUGGGGUACGCCAGGCUCUUCCUAGCUCCAGUCCCCAGUGACCCACAUGCAUCCUCCCCUGUACCCCAAAGCUGAUGACACAGCGCUGCCAUGAUGCUUCCAUCCACUCGACUCCUCUACAAGAAGCAAGCAAGGCCAGUCUCCUGGAAAUGAGCAACAAAACAAGGUUUCCCUCCCCAGUGGCCCACCCUAGAAAUGAGA